UAUAGUGCUAGCCUUCACAACCUCCUCAGAGACACCCAGUGCCCAGCUGGAGUGAGUUAAGGAGGAGGAGGAGGAGUGGGUUUAGGAGUAGGAAAAGGAGAAGCGGGUGAGGAGGAGGAAGAGGAGGAGGAUGUGUCCCCUGAACAAGACACCAUCAGAGUCAUCCAGCAGCACCUCCAGGGCAGAGAUGAGUUGGUGGAGGACAGGGCCAAACAGCUCCACUUCCUCCAAGCUGUCCCAAGUCUGUGCGUCUCGGCACAGCAGCAGGGGUGGGACACCCUGGAACCCCACUUUUCAAAAGCAGCCCUUGUGGAGAGCAUUGCGUCUCCCAGGAGCUGAUUGAAAAUCUUCCCGUGGUAUC